GACGAACGCUGGCGGCGUGCCUAAUACAUGCAAGUAGAACGCUGAAGGAGGAGCUUGCUUCUCUGGAUGAGUUGCGAACGGGUGAGUAACGCGUAGGUAACCUGCCUGGUAGCGGGGGAUAACUAUUGGAAACGAUAGCUAAUACCGCAUAAGAGUAGAUGUUGCAUGACAUUUGCUUAAAAGGUGCAAUUGCAUCACUACCAGAUGGACCUGCGUUGUAUUAGCUAGUUGGUGGGGUAACGGCUCACCAAGGCGACGAUACAUAGCCGACCUGAGAGGGUGAUCGGCCACACUGGGACUGAGACACGGCCCAGACUCCUACGGGAGGCAGCAGUAGGGAAUCUUCGGCAAUGGACGGAAGUCUGACCGAGCAACGCCGCGUGAGUGAAGAAGGUUUUCGGAUCGUAAAGCUCUGUUGUAAGAGAAGAACGAGUGUGAGAGUGGAAAGUUCACACUGUGACGGUAUCUUACCAGAAAGGGACGGCUAACUACGUGCCAGCAGCCGCGGUAAUACGUAGGUGGCAAGCGUUAUCCGGAUUUAUUGGGCGUAAAGAGAGUGCAGGCGGUUUUCUAAGUCUGAUGUGAAAGCCUUCGGCUUAACCGGAGAAGUGCAUCGGAAACUGGAUAACUUGAGUGCAGAAGAGGGUAGUGGAACUCCAUGUGUAGCGGUGGAAUGCGUAGAUAUAUGGAAGAACACCAGUGGCGAAGGCGGCUACCUGGUCUGCAACUGACGCUGAGACUCGAAAGCAUGGGUAGCGAACGG
rnacentral:rRNA from 1 species